GUCUGACUUAUUUACAGCAAUCUGUGACUCAUUCCAGCCUCUGAGCUGCUCCGUGGAAUUGCCCUGUUAAUGAUUCCUUGUCCUGUGUUUAUGCAAUUAAUCAGUCCUGAAAUUACCUAACAUUGCAGCGUCCUUGCUGAAUUGUCUGCGUUUUUCAAACCAGCUGUCCAGUUUGCCAAAGCUGUUCUGAUUUGUCAGCUGUGUGCUAGCACCUUCUUUUAGCUUGAAUCUGCAUGUGAAUUUUAGUAAGUCUGACCUACCUCCAUUGGUUGUAAUGGGAUUUGAUCCAGGACCAAUCUUUCAGUCACCUGGAUGAUAUAUUCUUCAACUGAUUGGUUUUUGCACACUUUGAAGUAAUACUUUUCUCAGUUGACUUAUGGUAAAUGCUAUGUCAAAAGGGCAUUGACACUCUCAGUCUCACGAUUCUGUGAUUCUAUGAUAUCUGUUCUUUUUCCUGUCCCCAGGAGCUGCUAUUCUGUAAAAGGAGGAAUCUAUCAGUUUGACCAUGAGUAGCAGCCAGCACGGAUUUGUCAAGAAUAAACCACUUCCUUGCUGUCAGGAAGGACGGAGCUCCAGUAAACUUUCCCUGAAAGAGUCACCUGGAAACCACAGAGAUAAAACUACCUGAGAAGGAGAUGCCACCAGUGGGAGAUGGGAACAUAGGGCCAGAUGAGCACAAAUCCUGAGUUCAGGGGAAUGAUGAGACCAAUGAAAUGCCCCCCUGCAUGGGAGCACUGCACAGCACAUGCUAUUUUUGCCCUGAAUGGUUAUUCUUAGGAGCUGAAGCCUUUGACAUUCUGUGGGAGGGGACACAUCACCGUGCGAAGGGUAUGUAAGUGCAACACAACAAAGCCUCAAGAGUUCACAAAAUCAGUUGCCAGUCAUUCUUGGGGUGGCGGUGGCUGUGCUAAUCAAUUUUUUCCACUGCAUGCUGUGCCUUCCCAGGAGCUGCCACUGUGCAGCAAGUUUAGGGGAUUCCACGUCUGGUUAUCAAAGGAUGGAUCUUGUGUGGGAGGGGAAAGCCUGCCUGCACCCCACGCUGGCUCCUCAUGUCAGCCACAGAGAUUCAUCUAAAAAGAUGACUUAGUGUGCAGAGCUGCC
ensembl:lncRNA